rnacentral:rRNA from 1 species
GACGAACGCUGGCGGCGUGCUUAACACAUGCAAGUCGAACGGAAAGGCCCUGCUUUUGUGGGGUGCUCGAGUGGCGAACGGGUGAGUAACACGUGAGUAACCUGCCCUUGACUUUGGGAUAACUUCAGGAAACUGGGGCUAAUACCGGAUAGGAGCUCCUGCUGCAUGGUGGGGGUUGGAAAGUUUCGGCGGUUGGGGAUGGACUCGCGGCUUAUCAGCUUGUUGGUGGGGUAGUGGCUUACCAAGGCUUUGACGGGUAGCCGGCCUGAGAGGGUGACCGGCCACAUUGGGACUGAGGUACGGCCCAGGCUCCUACGGGAGGCAGCAGUGGGGAAUAUUGCACAAUGGGCGGAAGCCUGAUGCAGCAACGCCGCGUGCGGGAUGACGGCCUUCUGGUUGUAAACCGCUUUCGCCUGUGACGAAGCGUGAGUGACGGUAAUGGGUAAAGAAGCACCGGCUAACUACGUG